UACGUAGGGGGGCUAGCGUUGUCCGGAAUCAUUGGGCGUAAAGCGCGCGUAGGCGGCCAGAUAAGUCCGGUGUGAAAGUCAAAGGCUCAACCUUUGAAUGCCGCUGGAAACUGUCUGGCUAGAGUCCGGAAGGGGCGAGUGGAACUCCUGGUGUAGCGGUGAAAUGCGCAGAUAUCAGGAAGAACACCAAUGGCGAAGGCAGCUCGCUAGGACGGUACUGACGCUGAGGCGCGAAAGCGUGGGGAGCGAACAGG
rnacentral:rRNA from 1 species